GAGUGUCAGGUUAAUUCUAUAUCGAGCCCACCCCUGUGUAGUUGCCAGCGAGUCAGGUCGGGAACUACAAACGAGAUGCCAGGGCCACUGUGAGGAAGGUGGGAUGACGUCAAAUCAUCAAAAAACCUACGCCUUGGGCUACACACGUGCUACGAUGGCCGGUACAGAGGAGCAGCCACCUCGCGAGGGGGAGCGAAUCUAUAAAACCGGUCACAGUUCGGAUCGGAGUCUGCAACUCAACUCCGUGAAGCUGGAAUCGCUAGUAAUCGGAUAUCAGCCAUGAUCCGGUGAAUACGUUCCCGGGCCUUGUACACACCGCCCGUCAAGCCAUGGAAGCUGGGGGUGCCUGAAGUAGAGUGACCGCAAGGAGCUGCCUAGGGUAAAACUGGUAACUAGGGCUAAGUCGUAACAAGGUAACAAGUCGUAGAGUUUGAUCAUGGCU
rnacentral:rRNA from 1 species